rnacentral:rRNA from 1 species
UACGGAGGGUGCAAACGUUGCUCGGAAUCAUUGGGCGUAAAGCGCACGUAGGUGGCCUGUUAAGUCGGGUGUGAAAUCCCUGGGCUCAACCCAGGAAGUGCACUCGAAACUGGCAGGCUUGAAUAUGGAAGAGGGUCGCGGAAUUCCCGGUGUAGAGGUGAAAUUCGUAGAUAUCGGGAGGAACACCAGUGGCGAAGGCGGCGACCUGGGCCAAUAUUGACGCUGAGGUGCGAAAGCGUGGGGAGCAAACAGG